UGUGGCCAACUUGCAAUGGCAACUUUUUCACAAAUAAUAAAAUUUUUCAACUUAACUUUUGAAAGUGUUCCGGAAAUACUAAUACUUUUAUAUACAGUGUGUAAAAUAAGUUCGGAAUCAUCGAUAUUUUAGAGCUGCUAUUGAUUUUUUUAAUAAUUUUUUUUUUAGAGGCUAAUUGAAUAAUUAAAUGCAUCUUAUACGAUUAUAAUUAAAGUUCAACCCUAAUGCAAAAGCGUAGAAAUCUACCCUAACUUAAGAAAUUUAAAUGACAACCAUUACUUUUAUUUAAAUCUUCGAUUAGAUUUUGUUGUUUAAAUGCAUCAAUAUUGAGUUUGGAAGCACAUUUUGCCACAGUAAAAACUAAUCAAUGUGUAAUUCCAUAGACAGAAUAAUCAUAAAUUGCUUGAAUAUUGUUGCUUGGUUUAUCUUAAUAAUCGUAUUAAGAUAUUAAAUAUCGUAAACAUGAAACGAUCAAUAAAUAAUGUUAAAUUGAUAUUGUACCUUAUCAAUGGAGUAAUAAAAUAUCAAUAAAAAUAUGA